rnacentral:rRNA from 1 species
GACGAACGCUGGCGGCGUGCCUAACACAUGCAAGUCGAACGGAAAGGCCCUGCUUUUGUGGGGUGCUCGAGUGGCGAACGGGUGAGUAACACGUGAGUAACCUGCCCUUGACUUUGGGAUAACUUCAGGAAACUGGGGCUAAUACCGGAUAGGAGCUCCUGCUGCAUGGUGGGGGUUGGAAAGUUUCGGCGGUUGGGGAUGGACUCGCGGCUUAUCAGCUUGUUGGUGGGGUAGUGGCUUACCAAGGCUUUGACGGGUAGCCGGCCUGAGAGGGUGGCCGGCCACCUUGGGCCUGAGAGACGGACCAGACUCCUACGGGAGGCAGCAGUGGGGAAUAUUGCGCAGUGGGCGGGAGCCUGAUGCAGCAACGCCGCGUGCGUGAUGCCGGCCUUCGGGUUGUGAACCGCUUUCGCCUGUGACGAAGCGUGAGUGACGGUAAUGGGUAAAGAAGCACCGGCUAACUACGUG